rnacentral:rRNA from 2 species
UGGGGAAUAUUGGGCAAUGGGCGAAAGCCUGACCCAGCGACGCCGCGUGAGGGAAGAAGGUCUUCGGAUUGUAAACCUUUGUUGAUAGGGACGAAGAAAUGACGGUACCUAUCGAGGAAGCCACGGCUAACUACGUGCCAGCAGCCGCGGUAAUACGUAGGUGGCAAGCGUUAUCCGGAUUUACUGGGUGUAAAGGGUGUGUAGGCGGGAAAGCAAGUCAGAUGUGAAAAUUAUGGGCUCAACUCAUAACCUGCGUCUGAAACUACUUUUCUUGAGAGUCGGAGAGGUAAACGGAAUUCCUGGUGUAGCGGUGAAAUGCGUAGAUAUCAGGAGGAACACCGGUGGCGAAGGCGGUUUACUGGACGACAACUGACGCUGAGACACGAAAGUGUGGGGAGCAAACAGG